rfam:Myotis lucifugus cont2.9015, whole genome shotgun sequence.
UUUUUAGUGUAAGUAUGUGCCAUGCAAGAUUUAGGACAUACUUAUACUAAAA